AGUGGCGGACGGGUGAGUAACACGUAGGUAACCUGCCCCGGAGCGGGGGAUAACAUUUGGAAACAGAUGCUAAUACCGCAUAACAACAAAAGCCACAUGGCUUUUGUUUGAAAGAUGGCUUUGGCUAUCACUCUGGGAUGGACCUGCGGUGCAUUAGCUAGUUGGUAAGGUAACGGCUUACCAAGGCGAUGAUGCAUAGCCGAGUUGAGAGACUGAUCGGCCACAAUGGAACUGAGACACGGUCCAUACUCCUACGGGAGGCAGCAGUAGGGAAUCUUCCACAAUGGGCGCAAGCCUGAUGGAGCAACACCGCGUGAGUGAAGAAGGGUUUCGGCUCGUAAAGCUCUGUUGUUGGAGAAGAACGUGCGUGAGAGUAACUGUUCACGCAGUGACGGUAUCCAACCAGAAAGUCACGGCUAACUACGUGCCAGCAGCCGCGGUAAUACGUAGGUGGCAAGCGUUAUCCGGAUUUAUUGGGCGUAAAGCGAGCGCAGGCGGUUGCUUAGGUCUGAUGUGAAAGCCUUCGGCUUAACCGAAGAAGUGCAUCGGAAACCGGGCGACUUGAGUGCAGAAGAGGACAGUGGAACUCCAUGUGUAGCGGUGGAAUGCGUAGAUAUAUGGAAGAACACCAGUGGCGAAGGCGGCUGUCUGGUCUGCAACUGACGCUGAGGCUCGAAAGCAUGGGUAGCGAACAGGAUUAGAUACCCUGGUAGUCCAUGCCGUAAACGAUGAGUGCUAGGUGU
rnacentral:rRNA from 1 species